CGGCGGACGGCUGAGUAACGAGUAGAAUUUGCCCCUUAGUGUGGAAUAGCUCACCGAAAGGUGUGGUAAUACCGCAUAGUCUGGUCUUUUUGAUCAGUAAAGGACGUAACUGUUCGCUAAGGGAUAAGCUUGCUUCCUAUCAGGUAGUUGGUGAGGUAACGGCUCACCAAGCCAAUGACGGGUAGCUGGUCUCAUGAGGACGACCAGCCAGAGGGGGACUGAGACACGGCCCCCACUCCUACGGGAGGCAGCAAUUAGGAAUAGUCGGCAAUGGGCGAAAGCCUGACCGCGCGACACCGCGUGUAGGAUGAAGGUCUAACGAUUGUAAACUACUGUGGCAUGGGAAAAAGGCGUAAGCUUGAUGGUACCAUGCUAGAAAGGGGCCGCUAACUGCGUGCCAGAAGCGUCGGUAAGACGUGGGCCCCAAGCGUUAUCCGGUGUAACUGGGCAUAAAGUGUCACGUAGGCGGCUAUGAAAGUUACCUUUUAAAUUCCGAGGCUCAACUUCGGAACUGGGGGUAAGACUCCAUAGCUAGAGUUUUGUAUGAGGGUAAAUGGAACUUUGAGAGGAGUAGUGAAAUGCGUUGAUCCUCAAGGGAACACCAGUGGCGAAGGCGAUUUACUGUAACAAAACUGACGCUGAGGUACGAAAGCUAGGGGAGCGAAUCAGAUUAGAGACCUGAGUAGUCCUAGCUGUAAACUAAUGCCUGCUAGCUGCAUUUCCACCCCUUCGGGGGUUAGGUGUGGCGAAGGAAAUCCGUUAAGCAGGCCGCCUGGGGAGUACGACCGCAAGGUUAAAACUCAAAGGAAUUGGCGGGGAGGCACACAACCAGAGGAACAUGUGGUUCAAUUCGAAAAUAAACGAGAACCUCACCAGGGUUUGACAUGUAGCUGCAAGCCGUAUGAAAGUACAGCCGCCUUCGAGGGAGCUACACAGGUGCUGCAUGGCUGUCGUCAGUUCGUUCCGUGAGGAGUGCCCUUAAGUGGGACAACGAACGCAACCCGCAUCGUGUGUUACAAGUGUCACACGAAACUGCCCCCGAGUUCUCGGGGGAGGAAGGAGCGGCAGAUGUCAAGUCAGCAUGGUCCUUACACCCUGGGCUACACACAUGUUACAAUGCGAAGCAACAACGAGCCUUGCGAACCAGUGAUGGUAAGCUAAUCUCUUAAACCUUCGCUCAGUGGGGAUUGUAGUCUGCAACUCGACUACAUGAACGCGGAUUUGGUAGUAAUCGCGGAUCUAUGAUAUGCCGCGGUGAAUACGUCU
rnacentral:rRNA from 1 species